rnacentral:rRNA from 1 species
CGGCGGACGGGUGAGUAACGCGUGGGUAACCUGCCUCAUACAGGGGGAUAACAGUUGGAAACGGCUGCUAAUACCGCAUAAGCGCACAGUACCGCAUGGUACCGUGCGAAAAACUCCGGUGGUAUGAGAUGGACCCGCGUCUGAUUAGCUAGUUGGUGGGGUAACGGCCUACCAAGGCGACGAUCAGUAGCCGACCUGAGAGGGUGACCGGCCACACUGGGACUGAGACACGGCCCAG